rnacentral:rRNA from 2 species
UAAUUCUAGAGCUAAUAUUUAACAGAAUGCCGUGACUCGCGAGAGAAGCGGCGGAUUUAUUAGUUUCAAAACCAACCUGUUGGGGCAACUCGACGGUUCUUUGAUGACUCUGGAUAACUUUACUGAUCGUACGACUUUAAUGUUGACGACGAAUCUCUUGAAAUGGCUGACCUAUCAACUUUCGAUGGUAAGAUCAAAGCUUACCAUGGUUGUAACGGGUAACGGGGAAUCAGUGUUCGAUUCCGGAGAGGGAGCCUGAGAAACGGCUACCACAUCCACGGAAGGCAGCAGGCGCGCAAAUUACCCAAUACCGGUUCGGUGAGGUAGUGACGAAAAAUAACAAUAUGGGCCAUUAUUGGUAUCAUAAUUGGAAUGAGAACAUUUUAAAUACUUUAUCAAGUAUCAAUUGGAGUAUAUGCUCGAUGCUCUUUAAUGGGUGUUGGGGAUAACCGGCAAGUUUACUUUGAAAAAAUUAGAGUGCUUAAAGCAGGCUUAUGCUUGUAUAUUGUUGCAUGGAAUAAUGAAAUAGGACUUCGGUUUUAUUUUGUUGGUUUUCUAAACUGAAGUAAUGAUUAAAAGAGACUGCCGGGGGCAUAUGUAUGCUGGUGGGAGAGGUGAAAUUCUAAGAUCGCCAGCAGACAAACUACUGCGAAAGCAUUUGCCAAGAAUGUUUUCAUUAAUCAAGAACGAAAGUCAGAGGAUCGAAGACGAUCAGAUACCGUCCUAGUUCUGACCAUAAACUAUGCCAACUGACAGUUAGCUAAGGUAGUAUUAACGUCCUUGCUAGAAGUCACCGGGAAACCUAAGUCUAUGGGUUCCGGGGGAAGUAUGGUUGCAAAGCUGAAACUUAAAGGAAUUGACGGAAGGGCACCACCAGGAGUGGAGCCUGCGGCUUAAUUUGACUCAACACGGGAAAUCUCACCCGGUCCGGACACUGUGAGGAUUGACAGAUUGAUAGCUCUUUCUUGAUUCGGUGGGUGGUGGUGCAUGGCCGUUCUUAGUUGGUGGAGCGAUUUGUCUGGUUAAUUCCGAUAACGAACGAGACUCUGACCUGCUAACUAGUACACUCGUGUUCAAUUGCGAGUGCUGACUUCUUAGAGGAAUAAGUAGCUUUUAGCUAAAUGAAAUAGAGCAAUAACAGGUCUGUGAUGCCCUUAGAUGUCCGGGGCCGCACGCGCGCUACAAUGGCAGUACCAGCGAGUUUUUUCCUAGCUAGAAAUGGCCGGGUAAUCUGCUGAAACACUGUCGUGUCAGGAAUAGUGGUUUGAAAUUUUCCCACUUGAACGAGGAAUUCCUAGUAAGCGCAAGUCAUUAGCUUGCGCUGAUUACGUCCCUGCCCUUUGUACACACCGCCCGUCGCUACU